GAGGGGUUGGCGCACCCACGUGGUGCUGGGUGAGGUAAAUACGGAGGAGCGUUGUCUGUGGGGGAGCUCGUAGCUGUGCGAGGGGGAGCGAUGGGGCUCGGUGUGCCUCAGGGGCAGGAGGUGGGGGUCUCCGCCUGAGAGGUUACUGGGGCUGCUGCUGAGCGUCCUGAGCGAGGCAGAGCCGUGCUGGCUUUGGGAGGCGCUCAGCUGGGAGCUGUGAGGCAGGCACUGCCUGUUGGCUGGGCGGAAGGGCCCUGCUGAGCAGCGCUGAGCGCUGUGCCCUUCCCUCAUGCUGCCCGGUGCGCGGGGAGCCGUGCCCUGCUCCUCAUCCCUGUGAGGUGUUCACUGGGAUCUCGUGCUUUGGCUCCCGUUACACCUACCUUAUAAACCCUACUGGCAGCGAGGCCUUGUCACCUGAAAUAAGCAAAGUUAGGCAACUCGGGGAGUGUGGGGAGGUGAGCAGCUCUGAGGUAUGGCCCUGCUGCUCCUCGUUGUGAGUUUAAUUUCUGGGCUGAGGGAAAUUAGUUUGUAAGCUAGGUGCGAGGUGAGCUGUGCCCAGCAUGGCUUUGUUGUGAACGAAUUGAGCCAAUCUCAUCUCCAUCUCUGGCAGUGCAGCAGCUUGCAGUUCUACAGCUUCUCCAGCCAUUCUAUUUCUGCACACUAGUUGGUUUUGUUGUCAUCUUUUUUGCAAGAUCAUCUCCUUUAGAGGCUUAUUGUGGAGACUGAAAAUUCUGCAGAACGUGGUGUUUCUAUUUGGAGGACAGUUCUACAUCCAGUUACUUAAUCUGAAAAGGAACAGCAGGAUAAAUAAUCACAGAGGGGAUUUGAAGUGUUGAUGUAGAAUUAUGAGGAUCAAAAAAAGAAAUGGGAAGAUGGUAUCUACCCUGGGAGUCUGGAGAUGCUCAUGCUCUUGAGUUUUGUUGCAACACAGAAAUAAAGGGUGCAUGUUGUGGUUCUGCUCCUGACACAGCUCUUUUGCCAUGCAGGAAGCCUCUGAGGAAGGCUGCCUUUCUAAAGAUUAGAUCCAAGUUGAUGGAAGUAAUCCCAGCUGACUUGGGCAGCGCUAGGUCAGACCAUAAACCAGGUGCUGGUAUGCUUGCUUAGUACCUCUGGAAUACUCAAAGUUGCCCUGCAGCUAACUGAAAAACAUGGCUUCAAUGUGAGAAGUAACUGAAGCACACAUUGGCAGUGGGUGGCAGAAGGGCCCAAGGUUUCAAAAGCAAACUGCAUGGGACCGCUGAAGAAACAGUCCAUUGAAAACCCACCUCAUGUAAGUUUUAGGCAAAGGUGGUCUCCAGCCCUUUCAAGCAGAAUUUCAAGUUGCUGAGCUCAUCCUCCAGCACCACUUGGUACUACUCAGGGUAGCACUUCCAUUGCCAGGAUCCAGCUCAGUAGAACAGUCCAUCUUUGCUCUCAUCAUUUGGCCCAAGCACACCUCAGCACCCAGCAAGUUCCCUCAUUCCUACUGAAGAGAUGGGAAUCCAGUGUUCAUCCUGAGUACCCUGCUACACCUUCUGCUUCCGUUUCCAUUUGCAAGAAGUGUUUGCUGCUUCUGUGGAAUUUAUUAAAGAUUUCUUUAAUAAAACUACUGUUG
rnacentral:lncRNA from 1 species